rnacentral:rRNA from 1 species
UACGUAGGGCGCAAGCGUUUGUCCGGAAUUAUUGGGCGUAAAGAGCGUGUAGGCGGCCUGAAAGGUCAGCUGUGAAACUCGAGGCUCAACCUCGAGACGUCGGUUGAAACCAUCUGGCUAGAGUCCGGAAGAGGAGUGUGGAAUUCCCGGUGUAGCGGUGAAAUGCGCAGAUAUCGGGAAGAACACCCGUGGCGAAGGCGGCACUCUGGGACGGUACUGACGCUGAGACGCGAAAGCGUGGGGAGCGAACAGG